ensembl:lncRNA LINC02751 long intergenic non-protein coding RNA 2751
GGCAACCCGCUUGAGUCAGCUUCUGCAUUGUGGAAGGUUUGUUCUUUCUCUCUUUGCAGUAAAUCUUACUGCUGCUCACUUUUUGGGUCCACACUGCGUUUAUUAGCUGCAACGCUCACCGCUAUGGUCUGCAGCUUCACUCCUGAAGCCAGCGAGACCACGAACCCACCAGAAUGAAGAAACUCCGAACACAUCCAAACAUCAGAAGGAACAAACUCCGGACAGGCGGCCUUUAAGAACUGUAACACUCACCUCGAGGGUCUGCGGCUUCAUUCUUGAAGUCAGUGAGACCAAGAACCCACCAAUUCCGGACACAAUGUUACUCCAGAUAAUCAGCGCCAUUUUCUGAAGCUUGAGAUGCAGGAAAAGAGGAGUGCUAUCCAUUAGAUGGAGACAGGAAGUAGAAAAAGAGCUUAAAGUUUUGGCUUGUGUUACUUCCUUGGGGAGAUCUUGCUGGACCACAUCAGGAAUAGGAGGGGUGUGUCCCCACAGCACUGUGUACACGCAGCGGUCAUUGAGAAAUCCUGACAUAAAGAAGGUAUCUGGGAGAUAAAGUUCUGCAAGCGAUGAUUACUAGCACUUAAGUUCUCUUUUUGUUGAAAGGAAGAAUCCCAGAUUGAACAGUGCAUUGAAUGAUAUGACAAGCAAGUACUUGAUCCCUGUCCAGCUGGAGGGGGGAUUGUACCCAUCAGCAGCUUUUUAGCUAAGGACGUCUUUAUAUUUCCCUUCUUUGUCUGGGCCUCUCUAGUUCCUCCUUUUACUUCAUGUCAGCACUAUAUAGUAGGUAUGCCAAGUGGUUUUGAAAUUUAAAUUACAGUCUCUUUUUCAGAUGUUAUUGGAAAGAACAUGUAAUUUAUAACCACGUGUUAGGAGUACAGGAUGUUCAUGGUCCACUGCCAAUUUUUCUUUUGUAAAGUUAAUAAAACUUUCAUAAAACAC